rnacentral:rRNA from 1 species
UACGAAGGGGGCUAGCGUUGCUCGGAAUCACUGGGCGUAAAGCGCACGUAGGCGGAUUGUUAAGUCAGGGGUGAAAUCCUGGAGCUCAACUCCAGAACUGCCUUUGAUACUGGCGAUCUUGAGUCCGGGAGAGGUGAGUGGAACUGCGAGUGUAGAGGUGAAAUUCGUAGAUAUCUGGAGGAACACCGGUGGCGAAGGCGGCAUCCUGGACCGGCAUUGACGCUGAGGCGCGAAAGCCAGGGGAGCAAACGGG